GUCCGGUGCGCCCCCGGCGGCCCU
rnacentral:snRNA from 1 species